AGUCCUGUAGCUCAAUGGUUAGAGCACUCGCCUCGUAAGCGAGAGACCUGGGUUCGAUUCCCAGCAGGGUAA
rnacentral:tRNA from 1 species